AUUUAUUACACCAUAGUUAAAGGAGAAAAAUCAUGUUCACUUCAAUAUAUGAUGAAAAGUAAUUUAAUUCAAUAGAUAUCCUUUAAAGGCAAUCGGUGUAAGAAUAAGUGAAUUGUUACAUAUUGGUAUGUAUUUUCACCUACAGGCAACUAAAUGUAUGGUCCUAAAUGACUAAAUCAUGAAACCAUUUUAAUUACAUUCAGAAAUUGGACAAGGGACCAUCCAUCACAAUUAUUUAAUAUUGAGUAAGAGGCUUUAUUUAACAAAGUACAACUGACAUUAAUACUGAUCGAGCAGAGCUAAUAAUGUCUUUUUGCAGGUGAUAUAUGACUUAAAAAUUUCUGAAAUGCUAAUUUCAAGAUCUAGAAAAGAACAAAAAUUGGUAACUUGGUUGGUUAGAAGAUAGAUGAAAAUUUGUAAUUUUUUGUGAAAUCUAUUGACUAAGAAACUAUCCAGGUAUAGAAAUGAUAUGAAAGCAAAGGCAAUAUCAUAUUAAAUAGAACAGGAUCUGAUUAAAGAAGAAACUAAUAUUUUGGGGGGAAUAUAGUAUUAAUAUAUUAAUUCUUUGUAACUUAAAAAAUGUAUUUCAAGCAAUUCCAAUUAGAAUCUUGAUGAGCUGUUUUCAAUUUUUGAAAGAGGUAAUGUAAUUUUACAAUUAUGUGGAUGAUCACAUGUUAAUAAAUGACCAGUAUGAAAAAGCAGUGAGGAAGACUUGCAUUGUGCUUAUAAUACGUAAUAUAAAUUCAGUUGAUCAGAAUAUAUGGUAAUGCCAUAGGAAGACAUACAGAUUAAUGGAACAGAUAAAUUAUUUUUAAAAUAGGUAACAGCUUGGACAAUACAUCACUUAAAUAAUGAGACUGCAAUAACUGAUGAUCACUGUGGAAAAAAUGAAAAGCAUUAUUGUUUUGUAUCUUAUACAAAGAUAGUUUACAAUGGAUGGCUUAAAUGAAAAAAGUAUAAAGAACUUUGCAAAGUGAAUCAUCAUAAUUCCCUAAUAUAGAACAUAAUGAAAUUCACCUAUCUUUUUGCUUUUUGUAAAUCUAAAGAAAAUUACUUAGUGAAAUAAUGUUAGUUAUCAUAUGUCUUUCUUAUCAUAUCAUUAUGUCUUUAAUAUGGUUACAUGUCAUAUAAUGUUUAGUUACUUACUAGUUUAACCUAAAUGUCUGUGAAAUAGUUAAUAGUACUAUCAGUAUUCAAUAGAUGAGGACAACCUGGAUUGACUAAGUAGCUUAAAACUUCUUUGGGAGAAGAUCAGGUAUCAUGUCCUUGUAGUACUAAGGCAUAUUUUGUGUGUGUGUUAGAAAUUGUCAUUGAAUUAUUCCAUAUAAUCUAUUUUAUGGUGCUUUGGUGAUCCCAUUGUUCCUUGGUCCUGUUCUGGUGCUAAUUACUUUUAUUAUCAGGAGAAUCAAGAUAAAUAUUAACAUCAAAGUACAUCUAGAAAGUGGAUAAAAAAAUAUAAAACACGCAACCUUGGAGAAGUAUGUGAAAUUGACUUGGGAAUGAGUGGUUACUGAUUUUGAGCUAUAAACAAAGAAACACAAUUUGACAAUUAACCUGCCACUGUUGUCAAUCUUUUUAUAUCUUUAGAACAUAAACAUUUUGUUUCCAGUUCCUUGUAUUUAUUUUAAAAUAAAUUAUGUGAUCAUAUAAAUAAUUUUCUUGUAAGUCAUGCAUUAGAAUAUAUUCAACUACUGAUAUUCCUUCUGGACACUAAUCAUGAAACUAAUAAUGAAAUUUCAGAUAUUAAUCCUCUGUGUUGACUAGGUAUCUUGGGUGAGAAGGUAGAGGAAAGAACCUUCAGUAACUUGGCGUGGAAGGGCUGUAUGGUAGCAUAGCACACAGAACUAGCCUAUGACAGACCUUUUGGAAAGGAGCAAUAGUUAUAAAUUUAUUGACAUCAUGUUUUUCAUAGUUGCUGAUGUAUGUUGGCUCAAAGAGUGGGAAUUAGACACUGGAAAUUAGUGGAUAGACAAGGUGUGACAUGAAUGAUAAG